AUGAGGAUCACCAAACAAUGCAACCUGCCACUUUCUUUGGGUAAGCAUUAUCGCUCAAAUGUGUUGUGUGAUGUAGUUGACAUGGAUGCCAGCCAUGUUCUUCUUGGGAGGCCUUGGCAAUUUGAUGUGGAUACUACACACAAGGGCAAGGAAAAUUCUUACUCUUUCAUUUGGAACAAGAGAAAGAUCAUUAUCUUACCAAACAAAACCGAAGGUAAUACCUCUAAGGAGGAGGGGAAAACUAUGUUAACUAUCUCCCAUACCUCUCAUGAGUUUAUGGAAGACUUGAAGGAGGCAGAUUUGUGUGCUGCACUUGUUGUAAAAGGAGAAGAGCACCUGACUGUUGAAAUUCCAGCAAAGGUACGUGGUUUAUUGGCAGAAUUUCACAACAUACUUGGAGAGCCACAAGGCCUGCUGUCGGUGUCAAAACUGGCGGAUCUCAGGUAG
rnacentral:rRNA from 1 species